AUUUUAUUUAUUUUUAUGUGGUGCUGAGGAUCAAACCCAGAGCCUUAUACAUGUGAGGGGAGUGCUCUACCACUGAGCCAUAACCCCAGGCCCACUGAAGGUCAACUUUAUUAGAUUACCUCAUGCCUGAUCCUAGCAAGAAAUAGAUUCAUCAAGAUAAGUUAGUUCAUAAUUUUUGUGACAUAAUAUUUAUUUGGUCCAGACAUGAAGACUUUAUUUGAUUAAACAAACAUUCUCUUUGAUAAGAUACCUAUUUUCUAUGAGAAAUCCUGUGAUACUUAUUUAGCUAAAGAACUUUUGUUAAACUAACAAAUGUGUCUUGAAUGGCCUGCCAAUUCUGAUUAAAGUGGAUAUAGUUCCAGUAAGGAGCAAUGAACAACCUUUCUUAGGUGUUUACCAGUGUUAAUUUCAUUUUAAAGUAGAUCAAAAUGAAUAACAAUUGACCUUAAGUUCAAAGGUUGGUAUUGUUAUAAGAAGAGGAGGUGACAUACUUAAAGUUUCAGAGAAGGCCAGAGAAAGCAAAGACAAAAAUUGGAAUGGUGCAACAACAAGCCAGGAAACAUGAAUAACUGCUGGAAGUAACCAGAAGCUAGGAGAGAGGCAUGGGACAGAUACACCCUCAGGAAAUCCAGAAAGAACUACUCUGGCCUAACACCUUUCUUCUCUACUUUUGUUCAAUUGAAAUGUGAAAAAAUAAACUUCUGUUGUUUUGAGCCA
rnacentral:lncRNA from 1 species